UACGUAGGGGGCGAGCGUUGUCCGGAAUCAUUGGGCGUAAAGAGCUCGUAGGCGGUUCAGCAAGUCGGCUGUGAAAUUCCGAGGCUCAACCUCGGAACUGCAGUCGAUACUGCUGUGACUCGAGUCCGGUAGAGGAGAAUGGAAUUCCCGGUGUAGCGGUGAAAUGCGCAGAUAUCGGGAGGAACACCAGUAGCGAAGGCGGUUCUCUGGGCCGGUACUGACGCUGAGGAGUGAAAGCGUGGGGAGCAAACAGG
rnacentral:rRNA from 1 species